rnacentral:rRNA from 1 species
GUGGGGAAUUUUGGACAAUGGGCGAAAGCCUGAUCCAGCCAUUCCGCGUGAGUGAAGAAGGCCUUCGGGUUGUAAAGCUCUUUCGCAAGGGAAGAAAACUUAUCCUCUAACAUAGGAUGAGGUUGACGGUACCUUGAUAAGAAGCACCGGCUAACUACGUGCCAGCAGCCGCGGUAAUACGUAGGGUGCGAGCGUUAAUCGGAAUUACUGGGCGUAAAGCGUGCGCAGGCGGUUUUGUAAGUCAGAUGUGAAAUCCCCGAGCUCAACUUGGGAACUGCGUCCGAAACUACAAGACUAGAAUAUGUCAGAGGGGGGUAGAAUUCCACGUGUAGCAGUGAAAUGCGUAGAGAUGUGGAGGAAUACCAAUGGCGAAGGCAGCCCCCUGGGAUAAUAUUGACGCUCAUGCACGAAAGCGUGGGGAGCAAACAGGA